UCGAUGGGCUCGGGCGACGUCACACCUCGAACCUGGUCAGGGCCGGGAGGCAGCAGCCAUAAGGGGUCACUG
rnacentral:SRP_RNA from 1 species